GCUACUAUAACAACUACAACCUCUCCCAGCCCCGUCACUUCUGCAAGAGCUGCCGCCGUUACUGGACCAACGGCGGCGUCCUCCGUAACGUCCCCGUCGGCGGCGGAUGCCGCAAGCCCAAGCGCUCUAAGCCCAAACAGAACCCCGACUCUACUUCCGCCGUCGUCUCCACCGCCGAUUUCACAACUCAGCCGCCGGAAGAUCAGCUGAAUUCUCCCGAUUCUCA
rnacentral:lncRNA from 1 species